GAAAGGAAAGAAAGGGAAGAACAAAGAAGAAGAAGGAGAAGAGCUUGGGGUCGGUCUUCAAUGGCAGAUGAAGGUGACCCGUCUGAGGCUUGGUGAAACUAACCGGAGACAGAGGGGGCGCCGGCCAGCGCAGCAGCAGUGGCAGAAGCAGUUGUGAGCGGUGAGGGGCGGCGAAAAAUGGAGAAGAAGGUAGCUUCUUCUUUGACGGUGUUCAUGGCGUUCCGGCGACCAAUGGCAACGGUUUCGGUCUUAAAAUGAUCGGCGACUUGACGGCUUUCUAAUGGGGGCGACAAUAUCAGCAAUGGUGUACGGAGAAGAGAGUUUCGGUGAAGGAAAGGCAGCUAAGUUAUUAGACUUUUCCGGCCAUCUCCGACGAGUUAUGGCUGAUCGAAGUUCAUGGAUGAACUCUUCUCGUCACAAGCUUUCUAAUAGCACUAAUUUUGCAGCGAUCAGACUCAGUUUGAAAAUUGACGGUCGAAACUGUCCGUAAUUUUCUCGGAUGAUUGGGAACUGGAUCAAAGAAUUAGGUGCUAGAAUCAUCGUUUGUGUGUUGUCUCGAGUCCAUAGGCGUGCUCAGAUCGUCGAUCGGACUCCGACGGCUGAAGACGAGUCGACCGAUUUAUCAAGCGUCUCGAUAAUCCAUCAUUUCAGUCCGCUUCACCCGAGGCUUAGGAGCAGAGCAAGGGGGUUAUCAGAACUGAGUUAAAGUGAUAUAUCUUUUAUACAUGUGUCAUGCUAAAAUUUCAUAUAGUAAUUUUGAUUAAUUGAUUUAUAGAUUUAAAUUAUUUAUUUAUUUACUAUUCAUCUAAAUAACUGUAUUAUAGAAUUAAUUAUCUAUUUAUUAUUCAUAUAUCAUUUUUCCACAUCAUUAAUAUUAUGAUUACAUAUUGACUCGGGAUGAGAUGUCAGUAGAAUAUGCCACCUGAUGAGUUGCAUCAGAACCGUGUGCGCACCAGUAUCAAUUUGAGACAGGUAGUAAAAGAAUAUUUUAAGACUUGUCCCGGUCGAGUUCAACUCUCUGGGCUGUGAAGAAUUUGAUUGCCGGAUUAAAGGUCCCUGGUCGAGCGUUGCUCUUUAGGCGCCUGCUUUAUUGGAAAUUUAGUGACCAGAUUGGAUUUAAGGACCAUGGUCGAGCUCCAUUCUCUGGGCGCCAGUUCUGUUGGAGUGAGAGGACCGAAAGGCUGUUAGUAUUGAUUGGGGUUAGGGUUCUGCUGAGGUAUUCAUCCCGUAACAUGUAAAAUAAAUUUUAUUGAAUCAUGACAUGACACACCUUUUGAUAUGGCCUAAUAUUUAAUUUUUGAUUAAACAAAUAUUUUAUUGAGGUGGUUGUAUUUAUUUUUAGAUUAUAUGGUUUUAACUCAUUCUCGAGACUAACAGUCUUAAAUUUAAUUAUUUUUCAGGUGUUUAUUAUUUUCUCACAGUUUUUUUCCUCUAGCAGUCCUACUUCCUUCAUCUUCGGGCUUAAUGUAACUGAUUUUAUUGGUAUGUUUGAUUUUUUUAGAAUUCUAGAUUCUCCGCAGUAGUAAUUUCAAAACUUAUAAUUUUGUUUUGACAUGUUAAACCAAGUAUUGCCUAUUUGUGCCGGCAAACUAAAUUAAAUAUGUAGUUUUUGAGUGGUUGAAA